rnacentral:rRNA from 1 species
GCGUUAUCCGGAUUCACUGGGCGUAAAGAGCGUUGAGGCGGUUCCGUAAGUUGGGCGUGAAAGCUCCGGGCUUAACCCGGAGAUGUCGUUCAAUACUGCGGGGCUUGAGGACAGCAGAGGAAGGUGGAAUUCCCGGUGUAGUGGUGAAAUGCGUAGAUAUCGGGAGGAACACCCGUGGCGAAGGCGGCCUUCUGGGCUGUUCCUGACGCUGAAGGCGAAAGCUAGGGGAGCGAACGGGAUUAGAUACCCCGGUAGUCCUAGCUGUAAACGAUGGAUGCUGGGUGUGGGGGGUGUAAAUUCCCUCUGUGCCGAAGCAAACGCGUUAAGCAUCCCGCCUGGGGACUACGGCCGCAAGGCUAAAACUCAAACGAAUUGACGGGGGCCCGCACAAGCAGCGGAGCGUGUGGUUUAAUUCGAUGCUACACGAAGAACCUUACCUGGGUUUGACAUGCACGUGGUAGGGAACCGAAAGGGGACCGACCUUCGGGAGCGUGCACAGGUGCUGCAUGGCUGUCGUCAGCUCGUGCCGUGAGGUGUCGGGUUAAGUCCCGUAACGAGCGCAACCCUUGCCCUUAGUUACAAGUGUCUAAGGGGACUGCCCGGGACAACUGGGAGGAAGGUGGGGAUGACGUCAAGUCAGCAUGGCCUUUAUAUCCAGGGCUACACACACGCUACAAUGGCCAGUACAAUAGGUAGCCAAGUCGUGAGACGGAGCCAAUCCUUAAAACUGGUCUCAGUUCGAAUUGCAGUCUGCAACUCGACUGCAUGAAGCUGGAGUUGCUAGUAAUCGCAGGUCAGCCAUACUGCGCUGAUACGUUCCCGGGCCUUGUACACACCGCCCGUCACGUCAUGGAAGCUGGCAACGCCUGAAGCCGGUGAGCUAACCCGAAAGGGGGCAGCCGUCGAG